rnacentral:misc_RNA from 1 species
AGUCGUAACAAGGUUUCCGAUAAGGUGGAACCGCUGCGGAAGGAUCCAUUAAAGAGAUGCAGUGCCCUCCGGGUAGACCUCCCACCCUCUGUUUACAAUACCUUUGUUGCUUUGGCGGCCCCGUCGCAAGACAACCGGCUCCGGCUGGUCAGCGGCCGCCAGAGGACUCAAAACUCAUAUUAUCUUUGUCGUCUGAGUACUAUAUAAUAGUUAAAA